CAAAAAGAAGUGGAUGAGUAAAUAUGCAUUUAACACUGCAUCAGACUGAACCUUUUCUGAAACUAAAAAACGAGAAACUUAAUUGCAUGUGGACUAAAAAAAGGCAAAAUUGAACAAUUAAUACAUAAAAAAAUACUAGCAAAAGAUCAAAAAAUUCAUUAAAACAAAAUUAGUAUGUAAUGCACAUCAUUGUUGGGAAAAAAUAUAUAAUUAGAAAACUCGAGUAUGUAGAAGAAGUAAAUGAAUAAAUUUCACCUUAGGUGGAUGAAACCGGAACGGCUUUUUCUCUGUUAGGGUUUCCGAUUCAGCAUAUGCUUUUUUUAAAUUUCUGGAAAUUUUGCUUCUUCACUGCUCUCACUCAGUACCAAGUUGUCAGUGGCGAGACAAAACAGUGGUGGAGGGAAAGACCAAAAAGAAAAAAGGACUUGACCAAUGCUUUGCUUCAUGCGAAUUUCCUUCUUUUUCUUUGUUUCUUUAUGCUUAAGACUACUAAACGCUUAUUUGCGAUCACAGCCGUCUAUUUUUC
rnacentral:lncRNA from 1 species